UACGUAGGGUGCAAGCGUUUGUCCGGAAUUAUUGGGCGUAAAGAGCUCGUAGGCGGUCUGUCACGUCGGCUGUGAAAACCUGAGGCUCAACCUCAGGCCUGCAGUCGAUACGGGCGGACUUGAGUACUGCAGGGGGAGACUGGAAUUCCUGGUGUAGCGGUGAAAUGCGCAGAUAUCAGGAGGAACACCCGGUGGCGAAGGCGGGUCUCUGGGCAGUAACUGACGCUGGAGGAGCGAAAGCGUGGGGAGCAA
rnacentral:rRNA from 1 species